UGGUGUCUGUAGCUAGGGAGAGCCCAGGUUUCCUUAACUACUGCAUUAAAGGCCUGUAGCUGUAGUAGAGCUGGGUCUCCUGCUCUGGCAGCUAUAAGGGGUGAGCAUGGGGAUAACUGCAGCUCACUAGUCAAGAGGACUUGAAAGCUAAAGUGACCCCAGGGCCUGAGGGGGAGCUACAGGCGUCCUGAGGAGAAGGUGCAAUUUGCAGCGGUGACUGUUAGGAGCAACUCCUUCUGGAUGCGUGCACAUUCCCAGAAGGGUUGCGGCUGCCAGGGAGAGAUGACCCUCCUUCCCAGCCCCAGCUCAGGGGCUGCCGCGGCAGAGGAGAGAAGGCACAUCCAUCCUAUUAGAAAGGUUAAUGAAAGCAACAAGAAAGAGCAAAAGUAAAGUUUCCAGAUGGGGGACUGGAAACCUCCUGAUGUCGAUCUUCUAGUCAACGUUUACCUUGGAGCAGUGCUUCCGACCGCUCGCUUCAAAGGCUCACGCACACUGACCAGACUUCCACCACUGCUGAUUUACAUUCCAAGCCCCAGGCUGGGAAGAGCACCACCAGAAUGGAGCUACAGCCAGCUGUUAGCCUGAUCCUCCAGCCAUGGCCACCACCACCACUCAGGUUUCAUACAACGGAGGGACUGAUGUAAUGGAGCCGAUCACCUGGUCUAGAAUUUCACCUUUAGCUGUGGCCUAUGCCACAUGCUUCCAAGGAAGGCAGAAAGCCUUGGUUAUAGUCACAUGUACAGUACUGUAAAUGGCUUGGGGGCAGGGAAGUAAAUUCUUUCUUCAUCCCCAUAGGCGAUCAGCUUACACCCUCGAGCAGGAGAUUUGAUAUUCCUUGUAACUUUUUGACCUACUGUAGCUAACAGCUACAAAUAUUCUGCUUAUAUAAAUGUGUAAUCCUUCUUCUGAAGCUUGCUCAGCUACUACAUUUGACUUAGAGGUUUCCUGUAGUAGUCAAGUCCACAGGGUAAUUAGAAACUGUGUGUAAAAAACCUAUUUAAUCAUUGCAUCCGACGAAGUGGGCAUUCACCCAUGAAAGCUUAUGCUCCAAUACAUCUGUUAGUCUUAAAGGUGCCACAGGACUCUCUGUUUAUUUAAUCAUUGGUUACACAUCAGUGAUUAGAGGCAGUGUGGUCCAGUGGGUAAUGCACUGGACUGAGACCUGAGUUCGAGUUCUGCUGUGUGACCUUGACCAGGCACAGAGAUUUACCCUUGGUCACACAGGAAGUCUGGGAUACAGCAGGACGUGAACCUACAUCGCCUAAGCUAGUGCUCUAACCACUAGGCCAUCCUGCCUCUCGCCAGCAAG